UUCCCUGUUUGCCGAAGAUGAAGAAUUGUAAGUGAUUGAUAUGAUGCAACUCCAAUAGCUGUUUAUUGAAAUUGCAAGAUCCCUUUCUUUCGGCCCUUAAGAUGACCCAUAUUAUUCAGAAUGUGGAAUUUUAUAAAAUAGACAUCUCCAUGGGCACCCUCUUUCUCUUUGAAGAAUAAGCAUUUAUACAGAAAAUCGGUAUUUCCUGAAACGAAUGCGCAAUGUGCUGACCCAUGACGAUCAUAGCCAAACCAUUUCUGUAACUUUAAAAAUAACAAUGGAUAAGAAGAAACAAUUAUAGAACUUAGCAGGUGUAUGCUACUUACUUCAUGGGUGCGGAAGAUGGUGGUAAAUGAAUUAAGUUCCAUCCAACGCAAAAGCAGCUCCUCACUUCUUCUAUACUUGAUUAUAGGUACCCAGAAGGAGAGUUGGCGACCUCAGUUUCCGAAAGA